CUUAUCACAUUCACUGAGAUGGCUUUGUAUUGUUUGUCAGAAUCCUAAAUUGGAGUCUCUUUCUUCACCUCUCUCUCGAACUCAUCGUCUCCGUCUCUACUACGUCGUGUUUGCCGGUCAGUUUCUUCAUGGCUUCCAUCGGACAAACCUCCAAUAUUGGUCGUUCACUUUCUCUUCUUAAUUCUUUCUUAGGGUUUCGAUUUGGGGGUUUUUAGGUUUGGGUUUUGAUUUGUCUUGAUUAUCUGUUUCUGGGUACAGGGUUACGAUUUUGUUAACAAUUGUCGCAGCCUCUAACAUCUCCUCAGCUCCUGCCGGUGUUAGUGACUCAAUUCCGGUUUCUGCAAACGAUGAAGUAUUGUCUAGUGCUUAUAUCAAGGAGAAAACUUUGAAGAAGCUGUCUAAGCAGCAGCUGAUGGGACCUUAUGCUAUGAAGAAAGUCCAGAUCCAGAACAAGGAGCAAUUGGAAUUGGUGCGGGUGGAGAUCCGUGUUUCAUCAUUAUUCAAUCAACCUAGCUGCUCUCUCCUUGAUAAUGUUGGCAGAGGGCAUGAGCAAACUUGAAGGCAUAGGUUCAACAGAAAGAGAGCGCCUGUGGCCUGAGCUUGUGCAAAGUUUCAAAGAUAUUUUUCAGCGCCUUAAGCCUGUUAUAAGCGCAGAAGGAGAAGAGGAAGAAUACAUAAACAUUCUAAAAACAGAAUGGCGAUUAAUCUUUACCAUAGUUAAGAACCUAGAAAAUUGGAAGAGAUGAUGGUCGCUGGUCGUGGUGAGGAAAAUGAAGAUGGAGAAGCUGAUGAGUAUAAGACUUAUGUUGUUAGUAUAAGAAUUUAAUGUUGUUAGUGUAGAUUCUAUGUAAAAUGUAUGUUUUAUGAAUUUAAUGCAAUGUAUAUUUUGGUUAUAAAUCAAUUUGCAGUUUAAAUAUUU